rnacentral:rRNA from 1 species
UACGUAGGGUGCAAGCGUUGUCCGGAAUUAUUGGGCGUAAAGAGCUCGUAGGCGGUUUGUUGCGUCGGCUGUGAAAACCUGAGGCUCAACCUCAGGCCUGCAGUCGAUACGAGCAGACUAGAGUGUUGCAGGGGAGACUGGAAUUCCUGGUGUAGCGGUGAAAUGCGCAGAUAUCAGGAAGAACACCUAUGGCGAAGGCAGCUCUCUGGGCCGAUAUUGACGCUGAGGAGCGAAAGCGUGGGGAGCAAACAGG